CGUCGAAUUCCGACGUACGGUCCUAAAGUUACGCCAAGAACGGAUAAUUACGACUUAAAGCAUUCGAUCGCGCGUACACAUGCAGGUGCCAUCAUACCAGCACUAAUGCACCGGAUCCCAUCAGAACUCCCCAGUUAAGCGUGCUUGGGCGAGAGUAGUACUAGGAUGGGUGACCUCCUGGGAAGUCAUCGUGUUGCACCUCU
rnacentral:sRNA from 1 species